GCGGAACCGACACCGGCCUCGUUCGAGUAGAGGCCACGCUUGAUGCCGUACAUCAUGGCCGAUCCCGCGAAACCGCCGAAGAUGGCGUCGAAGUCGAAGGCGCCGUGGAAAAUCGCUGAGAACAUCGCGGGAAUGUUCUGGUAGUUGACGGCGAUGACGACCGCGCCCACACCCAGGUAGAUAAUCGCCAUGAUCGGGACCAUGUAGCCCGUCACGUCGGUGAGGCGGCGAGUACCGCCCAGAAUCGACACGGCCAUGAGGACCGCGAGGAUCGCGCCGACGAUCCACGGCGUCCAGGCAUUCGCCCAGCUGUAGUGCAUGAAGGUGUCAGCCACGUUGUAGGAGGCCAGCAAGUUGAAGCCACCCAUGUAGGUCAGAAUCAAGACGAUUGCGAAGAGGUAGGCAAGCCAGCUCGCCUUCAAAGCAGUCUGGAUGUAGUAGGCCGGGCCACCGUAGGAGUGGUGGGGGCCCCGCUUCUUGUAGAUCUGCGCGAGCGUCGACUCGAUGAAGGCCGAGGCGCCGCCGAGGGUUGCGAUAACCCACAUCCAGAAAACAGAGCCAGCACCGCCGAGAGUCACGGCAGUGGCGACGCCCGCGAUGUUACCGACGCCGACGCGCGAGGCCGUGGAAACCAUCAACGCGCGGAAGGAGGACACGCCGCCUUCCUUCUUCGGGGGCUCCAUGACGACGCGGAGCGCUUCGAUAAACAUGCGCAGCGGAAGCGCGCGAGUGAACAGGAAGAAGAAGAGGCCAACCGCGAUCAGAAGCGCGACGAGCAGGUACGUAUACAUGAAGCCUGAAAUCGUAUCCAGGGUCCCGGCGAGAUCAAAGUCCGGGGGCAGGAGUCCAUUCAUCGUUGUUCCUUGCAUUGUCGGAGGCGGCGAGGCCGCUUGGAUGAUGCAAGUAUAGCCACCAGGUCAACGAUUGGUAAAGUUUAGGGCAAAAAAAUGUGAUGGUUUGGGAAUGGGUACAGCUCGCGCCCCUGUCGAGGGGAGAAUCUUCGCGGCGUAGGGCACAUUCUGUUUGAUAUUCUGUGUGCUGCAACAUGAAAUCAGGCGAUUUUCGGCCUUUAGUGGGGCGAAAAAUCCGCCAAAAUGGCGGAAUCCUGCGGAAAAUGCUCCUUGGGAAAGCGUGGGCGUCGCGAUUUGACGGCCUGCUUGGAAGUGCGUAUUGUUUUCCUUGUUGCGCCGAACGGCAGCGAACGAAGCGAAAAGCUGAAAUCGCGGAAACAUGGCGCAAAACGCCUUUCGAAAACAUGCAGAGCAUCUGUGUGUGUUUGAUCNCUAACCAAUUCGCCUGCACCCCCUCAUGACCUUCGGGUUGUGAGUGUGUGUGUGGGUCUUGGGGUCCUGGUGAUAGUAGGCAAGCGUGUUAACAGGGGUGACGCAGACAGGUAGCUGCAGUGCGCCGAUGGUUGUGCGUAUUUAAGGUUGUGGCCCGCCCCUCAGGUAAAUCCGGGGGGCACCCAGGGUGAGGACUGAUGAGGGACACGUGUGUGCGUGGACUUGUGGUGAUCCUAUGCUGUCAAGAAAAGCCUCGACGUGAGGGCAUGACGCGCCCGUACCCUAAACCGACUCAGGUGGUCAGGUAGAGUAUACCGAGGCGUUCGAGUGAAUCAUGGUUAAGGAACUCGGCAAAAUUCCUCCGUAACUUCGGGAUAAGGAGGACCCCAUGACUUCCUGGCGCCUAGCGUGCUGGUGGGGUUGGGGGGUCGCAGAGAAUAGGGAGAAGCGACUGUUUAUCAAAAACACAGGUGCGUGCGAAGCCGUAAGGCGAUGUAUACGCACUGACGCCUGCCCGGUGCUGGAAGGUUAAGAGGAACUGUUAACACCCCCCCUUGGGGUGUGAAGCGGUGAAUUUAAGCCCCAGUAAACGGCGGUGGUAACUAUAACCAUCCUAAGGUAGCGAAAUUCCUUGUCGGGUAAGUUCCGACCUGCACGAAUGGCGUAACGACUUCUCCGCUGUCUCGACCGUGAACUCGGUGAAAUUGCAGUACGAGUAAAGAUGCUCGUUUCGCGCAGAAGGACGGAAAGACCCCGGGACCUUUACUAUAGCUUGGUAUUGGUGUUCGCUUGGACUUGUGUAGGAUAGGUGGGAGACUGUGAGGCUGCCGCGCUAGCGGUGGUGGAGUCGUCGUUGAAAUACCAUUCUGGUUUAAGCGGUCACCUUAACCUUGGCCCGUGAUCCGGGUUGGGGACAGUGCCUGGUGGGUAGUUUAACUGGGGCGGUUGCCUCCUAAAAUGUAACGGAGGCGCUCAAAGGUUCCCUCAGCCUGGUUGGUAAUCAGGUGGCGAGUGCAAGUGUACAAGGGAGCUUGACUGUGAGACCGACGGGUCGAGCAGGUGCGAAAGCAGGAACUAGUGAUCCGGCCAUGGCACGUGGGUGCGUGGUCGCUCAACGGAUAAAAGGUACCCCGGGGAUAACAGGCUGAUCUUGCCCAAGAGUCCAUAUCGACGGCAUGGUUUGGCACCUCGAUGUCGGCUCGUCGCAUCCUGGGGCUGGAGUUGGUCCCAAGGGUUGGGCUGUUCGCCCAUUAAAGCGGUACGCGAGCUGGGUUCAGAACGUCGUGAGACAGUUCGGUCCCUAUCCUCUGUGCGCGCAGGAAAUUUGAGGAGGGCCGUCCCUAGUACGAGAGGACCGGGAUGGACGAACCUCUGGUGUGCCAGUUGUACCGCCAGGUGCAUGGCUGGUUAGCUACGUUCGGAAGGGAUAACCGCUGAAAGCAUCUAAGCGGGAAGCCUGCUUCAAGAUGAGGUUUCCGCGCCCCCGAUUGUGGGGUGAGAGGCCCCCGCCAGACGAGCGGGUUGAUAGGCCAGAGGUGGAAGCACCGCGAGGUGCUCGUGAGCCGACUGGUACUAAUGGGCCAACACUAAACAAA
rnacentral:rRNA from 1 species